UGGAGUAAAGUAUCAGCUGGGAGAGAGCGGAGCAGCAUUCACUCGCGUCUCUGUGUGCGGACAGCAUCUGUCAACUCCCAGGACCAACUCAUUCCAGCGCACAAAGAGAGAGCAACACACCUGCUGCUGAUGCGAGGAGACGCCGGAGCACACUUUACCGCGCCAUGCGAACCAACAACCGCUAGCGCCUGAGGAACAGCGUCCACAUCUGAGAAACAAGGACAGGCGCCUGGCAUCACUGGACAACUCGAUCUGGAGGCACACCUGAGUAUACUCCAAAGAUCUCAUUAGUCUGUGAUGAGCAUCAUCAUCCAGCACAGACCCAAGAUAGCACUACAUAUCCUCUAAGAGGAAGUGAUGUCACGACACCACCACCGCUUUGAGAGAGACUACCGAGGCCCUUGGGAGCGUCGCGAGCGCGCUAGCAGCCUUCACAAUGGCGUGGGCAACAGCAACUGCUCUUCUGCGCCCCCUGUGGCCAACGGCAACAACCGGCCAGGACUCCUCCCUCUCCCGGUAAUCCCGUCCCUGCUUCCCACCCCUGUGACCAUCGCAGUGACGUCGGCCAGCAAUGACCUCGCUGCCAAGCGCUCGGGAGCCUCCGCGUCCGCCAUGGCACCUGUCGUAAAGGUAGAUGCUAUAUGAAAUCCGAAUCACUCCAGUGUUUUUCCAUUCUGCUCCAUUUGGUCCCGCUCUCCUUCUCCUCACUAAUUUUUUCUUUCAUUAUGCAAAGGAGAAACUCUGAGCAAUGGGCUGAAUUAAGCCCGAGCUGAUGUGGGCACGAAAUAAAAGCUGUCAGCUGCUAUUUGAGUCGAGAUGAAUGCCAUUGUGGAGAAUUAGUUCAAGGAACGAGAAAAGCAUGAACUGUUGUUUCACUCUUCAUGCCGCUUAAUCAGAUUAGCUUCUGUUUCACUUAGAUUUCAUGCAUACUUGCCAUGCGGCUUUCGCAGCCUCCUGCUCUUAUAAGGCCAUGAUCAACGUGACCUUUGUUCCAGACCCUCAAAACGUACACAUUUUGAAGGUAUUGUUCACUUGAGGUCUCAUUAAUGGCUGAAAAGGAGGUGUUUGUUAGUAGUGUAGCGACUCACCGGAGGUGCACGGGGUUGUUUUCGGGGAAAUUUCUCUUGGUUUGAAUCAGUCGA